CGGUAGGAUCCACAAACUGGCUAUCCAUCCGGCGGCGAACUCGUCGCACACACGCCACGACAAUGGUUCAUUAGCCCCUGGGCGGCGAAAUCGUCGCACACACCCGACACCACUUUGGGUGUAGCAGCAAGCAGCGGGAUUCCGGAAUCCAUAUCACAUCAACCAAGGGUUGGUCUUAACCCUAUGGAACUGACCUCUCUAGGUCUAAGCCUUUAUCUCCUAGGUCCAAUUGACUCUAGGUUCAACAUCCUUUACACAACCUAAGUUAUUACUUUAGGUUUAUUGCUUUCACAUUCUUAACCUAGGUUUAUUACACUAGGGUCAUCAUUCUUUUCCAACUUAGGUUCAUUUAACUCUAGGUUAAGCAGCUUUCAUUUCACAACCUAUGUUCUUUACAUUAGGUUUAGCAUCACUCUUAUUUAACCUAUGUUCUUUACAUUAGGUUCAGCAUCACAUUUGCUUAACCUAUGUCAUUGACACUAGGUUUAAUGCCACUCGAUCUAUAGGUUUAUUCAUGUCCACCUAUAUAUAUUCCUUACUUAGCAUUCUCAACAUGUACUUGCAUGUACUAUUUUCAUAUCAUGCUUAUCAUUUAUACCUUAGCAUAGCAUCAUUUUCUUUAAUCACUCUAGGGUUCUCAACCUAGAUUUUCAUGCACAUUUUAAUCUCAUAAUGUCAACAUGUAUUCUAACCAUUAUGCUCACAUGCAUUCAUAUGGUUAUGUAGCAUUAUACAACUUGUUCAUCAUGCAUUCUAUAUCUCAUCUUAACUUAUGUCAUCAACAUGCAUUUCAUCUAUGCAUCAUAUUUACAUGCAUCCUUUUAAUUUACAUGCAUAUAUACAUAUAGUCUUCUAUAUGCAUCUACUUUAGCAUUACAUCAUAUCAUGCAUUACUAGCAUUAUGCAACUUGCUCACUAUGCAUUUCUAUUUAGCAUUUAUAUUCACAUGCAUUGUUUAACACUUAGAUGCAUCAACACGAAUUCUUAAUUCGCUUAGACAUAAAGGCGACCUAGUCGCUUCGGUAAACCAACCCACCUUAACACGCGUUCCGAUUGCUCGUCGACACUUGCAAUCGGCCUCCCGCGGCAACCGUUGCCCGGUUUGGCCCGAACUCUUGCGCGACUUAGCGAAUGACCUCCAAAUCGCGAUCCGUCUUUUCCGGAAGUUAUUCCUUGACUCCAAGGUACUCCAGUUCCGAUCUCAUGAUUUUUAGACCUUUAUUCCGCGUGCUGCGGCUAUCUGUACCAAAACCGAUCGUUUCGUUAAUAACUUCGUGUACGCUCGUCGGAUUGCCGAACCGAGCGCACCAACGCGUUCGUUAGGUCCCCAAUUAGGUUUCUACAAGGCCAAUUUGCCUUAGAAACACCCGGAAGCAAAAGCCCCAAUUUCGGUGCCCUAACAUGACAUUUGCUCAAAAUCCCGGAUUUGAUCUAUAAAGCUAAGCAAAACUAGCUUAGAACUCCUCUAGAAGCUCUCUAACAUCGUUUACAAGCUAUUCUACUCAUCCCUAGGGCAACAAAAGCUAGCCCUAACAUUCCACCAUUAGAGCAUCAUGAGAAACCAUGGAUUUCAUGGUGUUCUUGGCCUCUACGAAGUUCUAAAGCUUGUAGGGAGAUCAAAAUCAAAGAUCUAGGGUUCAAAACCCAUUCUACAAAAUUCUACCAUGAGAGGCUUGGAAGCUUACCUCUCCUAGAGCUCCAAGGGAGAGAAGAAGAUGAAGAGGAUGAUGAUGGUGAUGAUCCUCUUCCUCUCCUCCAUCUUCUCCUUCUUUUCUUUUCUUCUUUUCCUUUCUUCCUUCUCUUUUCCUUCCUCUCUUCUUCUUCUCUUUUCUUCUCCUUUGCUAUGCACGGUUGAGAGAGGGAGAGAGAGCAGCUGCUGCAAUGGGAGGAGGGGUUUGGGUUAUAACAUAUUGCUACAUUUGCAAAUAAACCCCCCAACAACUCAUAUUUGCAGCAGACACAUUUUUGCUGUCGGGUCCACUGCGUACCGGUACACGGGCUGGUGUCACCGGUACACGACCUGCGUAACAGCCAAACCCGAGAGCUCUCUUU
rnacentral:lncRNA from 1 species